rnacentral:rRNA from 1 species
GAUGAACGCUGGCGGCGUGCCUAAUACAUGUAAGUCGAGCGAACAGACGAGGAGCUUGCUCCUCUGACGUUAGCGGCGGACGGGUGAGUAACACGUGGAUAACCUACCUAUAAGACUGGGAUAACUUCGGGAAACCGGAGCUAAUACCGGAUAAUAUAUUGAACCGCAUGGUUCAAUAGUGAAAGACGGUUUUGCUGUCACUUAUAGAUGGAUCCGCGCCGCAUUAGCUAGUUGGUAAGGUAACGGCUUACCAAGGCAACGAUGCGUAGCCGACCUGAGAGGGUGAUCGGCCACACUGGAACUGAGACACGGUCCAGACUCCUACGGGAGGCAGCAGUAGGGAAUCUUCCGCAAAGGGCGAAAGCUUGACGGAGCAACGCCGCGUGAGUGAUGAAGGUCUUCGGAUCGUAAAACUCUGUUAUUAGGGAAGAACAAAUGUGUAAGUAACUAUGCACGUCUUGACGGUACCUAAUCAGAAAGCCACGGCUAACUACGUG